rnacentral:lncRNA from 1 species
AUGACUGCCGCUAUGACCUCAUGUUCUUCUCUCUAUUAUCACCUGCGAUCUAGCUACAUGUCUGCACCUCAAAUGACUGGAACAGAUAUGAACAACACAUCGAGAAAUAACAUGGUGCUUAUCUUUCCUUUUGGAUUACGGAGGCAUAAAGCUGCAUCUUCAGACCAGACGGUCUGGGACUUCAUGUUGACAUUACACUACCUUUUAGGGGUUUUGCUUAGUGGAUCGAAACUGGUAGCAGGCCUCAGGCCAGGCGGUUGCAGUCACAUGUUAAUGAAUGGAACAGGAGUGGACGCAUCUGAUGCGGCUGGCGGUUCUGUCAACUGAUUCUCAUCUGUUGUGUGUGUCUCCUGAGGUCAAUGAAUUGGGA